rnacentral:rRNA from 1 species
UACGUAGGUGGCGAGCGUUGUCCGGAAUUACUGGGUGUAAAGGGCGUGUAGGCGGGGAUGUAAGUCAGAUGUGAAAUUCCACGGCUUAACUGUGGCGCUGCAUCUGAAACUAUGUCUCUUGAGUGCUGGAGAGGAAAGCGGAAUUCCAAGUGUAGCGGUGAAAUGCGUAGAUAUUUGGAGGAACACCAGUGGCGAAGGCGGCUUUCUGGACAGUAACUGACGCUGAGGCGCGAAAGCGUGGGGAG